GUCUCUAUGGUGGCCCCAGGGGCCCUUCUGCGCGCCUACGAGAUGAACGCGGAGGCUGGCGGCAGCGGCGGUGUGGUUGCCGCAGGGCGGUCUGCAGCGGGCAGCCCCACGGCAGGUGGCUUCGUCCCGUCGGCGCUGGGGACCCGAGCGCAUUGGGAUGCUGUUUAUGACAGAGAACUGCAAACAUUCCGAGAAUAUGGAGAUACAGGAGAAAUCUGGUUUGGGGAAGAGAGUAUGAAACGACUAAUAAGGUGGAUGCAGAAACACAAGAUCCCAUUGGAUGCUUCAGUGCUUGAUAUUGGAACUGGAAAUGGUGUUUUCCUGGUUGAACUUGCAAAGUUUGGUUUCUCUAAUAUAACUGGAAUUGAUUACUCUGCUUCUGCAAUUCAGCUUUCUGGAAGUAUUUUAGAGAAAGAAGGAUUAUCUAACAUUAACUUGAAGGUAGAAGACUUUUUGAAUCUUUCCUCAAAGCUGUCUGGAUUUCAUGUCUGUAUUGACAAAGGGACUUUUGAUGCCAUAAGUCUUAAUCCUGAUAAUGCAGUUGAGAAGAGGAAGCAGUAUGUGAGAUCUCUCUCCAGGGUGUUGGAAGCAAAAGGCUUUUUUCUAAUAACCUCGUGUAAUUGGACCAAGGAAGAGUUGCUAGAUGAAUUCAGUGAAGGAUUUGAACUUUUUGAAGAGCUGCCAACGCCCAAGUUCAGCUUUGGAGGCAGAUCUGGAAACAGUGUAGCAGCACUGGUUUUUCAAAAAUCAUGAAACUUCUUGGACAAAAGUCAGGUGGUUUUCUAGAAGAAACUGCACAGCCAUGUAAACCUGACGCAGAAUAAGCACGUGCAAAUAGUGCUUACAGGAAACAGAUCUGUUCACAGAUGAAAGGGGAGUGCAAGAACAUGUUUUAUUAACAGUUAAUGGAAGAAAAUUAAUGCUAAUUUAUUCUUCAUACACACCGUGCAAUUUGUUAGAAAAGUAAAAGAAUAGUUUGAAAUUCUUUGGUCAAUUGAUGGAUUUCUAUGUUAGGGGCAUAGAAAUGAAACUCAACAUUAAGCAGACAAAUACCCAAGCCCACAGGCUACGUAAAUGCUGAAUAAAACCAGCUUCACAAUGGAACUCUGAAAAGCGUCGGGUACCCAGCCUAAUGAAUGACUGAAUAUGACCUUAGCAAAAUCCCUGGAGUGCUGUUGAAAGAUCAUUCAUUUUCAGCGUGGAUGUCAAGAUGGGCUCCAGUAACCAGAAAAAAAGAGCGCUUGAGUCAGUACUUACUGAGUAUUAAAAAUCUUUAUAACACGGGGUGUUAGACUAAUCAUUAAAAGGGCUUCUCUAGCUAAAUUUUGAGCUGGCACUAUGUGGACCUGUAGCUUAGGCCCAGAGAAACCAAAGUGAAAAGAUAGGAAUAAUUCCCAAGGCAUCAGUGUAUCAAAUAUCCUGCUUUUAUGGAGUAGAACUUCAAAACUUGGGGUGUAUGGACUGGCAGAAUGAACCUUUGUCAUGCUGAUACCAUUGUGAGAAAGAUGUAAAACCAAGCCAUCAGUUAUGCCUUAAAGUAUUUGCAAAUUACUUGUCUAGCUUAUUAGCGGGAGGUAUAAAAAAACCCCAAAUCUAAGUUUUUUAGAGACAGGGUCUCCCUAUAGCUCCAGCUGGCCUCGAGCACUCUGUAUAGAUCAGGCUGUCCUUGAACUCAGUUGCACUUGCCUCCCUGGCUGGGACUAAAGGCGUGUUCCACCACACCCAGCAAAUCUAAAUUUUUCAGAAGAAACAAUUUUGUUUUCUUGAAGAAACAGUAAAUUCUUCCAUGUUAUAUUUUUACAUAUGCAUUGUUAUUACUGAAUCAGCAGAUGAUACAUAUUUUAGUGAUUUUUUUUCUGCAUGCUGUCUAGAAGCUUCUUUUAAAAAGUGAGUCUAAUCUGCAUUUUUUGCAAAGCCAUAAGCAUUUACACAUGAUCCAGCCAUUAUAUAUCCUAGAUAAUAUCAGAGUAGCUUAGAAAGAAAUGUGGAAAUAAGUCAGUUGAUGAGGGGUCUGUGUGCUGUGAUUCUCUCUUCGUGAAUACCCUGUGGACAGUGAAGUUCAUUACCUGGGAUGGAAGCAGACUAGAAACUGCAUUGUGAUGGUGGUGGCUCUCUGCCGUUGUCCCCCUCAUGGCUCAGAGAGGAGAGCCUCGUGAGGAAGAGGCUAAAUGUGGACGAGUGUGGGUGCUGUGAGUUCACAGUUGCUUCCUAACGUCUCUGCUAAUAUGAAAAUGUCAGGCCUUUGUUCCAAUCUAAUUUUAGUACAUCCUGGCUAAAAAAAAAACUAUGAGGAUGAUUUCUAACCAUGGAACUUGGAGGGGCGGG